AGCUCCGGUGGCCUAGUCCCUAGAGCGUCAGCCUCUGAUGCCGGAGGGCGUGGGUUCGAUUUCCUGCCGAGUCA